rnacentral:rRNA from 1 species
CAGGCCUAACACAUGCAAGUCGAACGGUAACAGGCAGAAGCUUGCUUUUGCGCUGACGAGUGGCGGACGGGUGAGUAACGCGUAGGAAUCUACCUAGUAGUUGGGGACAACCUGGUGAAAACCAGGCUAAUACCGAAUAAGCUCUACGGGGGAAAGUGGAGGAUCUUCGGACUUCACGCUAUUAGAUGAGCCUGCGUCGGAUUAGCUAGAUGGUGGGGUAAAAGCCUACCAUGGCGACGAUCCGUAGCUGGUCUGAGAGGACGAUCAGCCACACUGGGACUGAGACACGGCCCAGACUCCUACGGGAGGCAGCAGUGGGGAAUAUUGGACAAUGGGGGCAACCCUGAUCCAGCAAUGCCGCGUGUGUGAAGAAGGCCUGCGGGUUGUAAAGCACUUUCAGUAGGGAGGUAAAGUUCAAGGUUAAUACCCCUUGGANCCCUGACGUUACCUNNACAGAAGANNAGCACCGNNGCUAACUUCUGUGCCAGCAGCCGC